CAACAUAGUCUUUUAAAACAGAUCCGUUGCACAGUGAAUGCUUGUGGCUCCCCGCAUCCCUGCUGCCAUCCUUCAGAUGUUGAAGUCCUAACCAGCUUUUUAAUGGCUAUUUGGAACAGGGAUGGAGAAGUAAUAGGCUUAGAUGAGGUCAGGAGAUGUGCCCUCUCAAUGGGGUCAGUGCCCUUUUAAGAAUGAAAGGGCAGAGUGUCUUUCCAGCACAACGCUGAUGAACAGCCAUAUGGGGGCACAGUGUGGAGGGAGAUGCCGUCUGCAAGGAGGAGACUCCUCUCCAGGACCUGACUGUGUUGGCACCUAGCCUGGGACUUCCAGCCUCCAGAAGAAGAGAACGUAAGUGUUGUUGGAGCCACUCAGUCUAUGGUAUUUUGCUAUAGCAACCUGAGCUAAGAUACUAUCUAUUGCCUAAAUCUUUGUUUUAAGAAACGUGGUCCUAUGCUUGCUCUGCGAGCACAGAUACUGAAACUAGAACGACAUACAGAAGGUCAGCAGAGCCCCUGUGGAGGACGACAUGAAAUGCACAAAGUGUUCCAUAUUUUUGAGUCAGGAGCACUUUGAAGAAGCUUUUCUUUCAACUUUGCAAAAAUUGGCCAACGCUCUUGCAGUCUCCUUUAGCUGCAGUAGAUAUCAUGAAUAUUACUGAGCUGCUUGCAAAUCUAACAAGACCCAAUGGAUUAUGUCCUCAGGCCAAGAAUUCCAAAUACAAUCAGCCUUUAACAGCACACAGCUUUGCUACAAAUUUUCCCAUGUGAUCUUAACAAGUCCAUGCUCAUAAGAAAUUUGGGGCUAUACAAAAUCUUUGAAUUCUUUAGAACUUAGCAGCAAUCUUGCAAGAGACUGGUGCUGCUGAAUGGGAUUCUGGAGAAAGUAAAAGACUGGACAUUUUGAGAGCGUGAGAGAAAGUCAAGAUCGAGUUAGAAAGAGAGAAUAAAGAAUUUGGUGGGCUGCCUAUAGCAGCAGCACAGGAUGCCAGCACAACUCCCAAUACCUUUCAGGAUGAAGAUGCAAAGAAUAAAGAAGAAUAUGUGACUCUUCUGCAGGAUGUAAAAGCAACUCAAGGAUCACACUCUGGUCAGCAAAAGACUUCAAUGGAUGGAGGAAGUGACAGCAUUGGUGAGGAUAAGUAGGAGGCCAUGGGCUGACUCCGGAAGCAAUCAUGAGAUUCCAGAGCCAGGAUCAGAAAAGAAGCUGAGAUUACCAAGAAGAACCGAAUCAGCAGCCCUGGGAAAAAGUGAACCUAACCUGGCACAGCCUCUCAAUGAAUGUAUUAGUUACAAGAGAUGGUGUAAGUGGAAUUAUGUUCACUUUUCUGCUUUAUUAAAGUUAUUCUUGUGCCAAAAUCAGCAAAGAGGAAAAAUAGUCCUUCAAGAUAUACUCACUGGAUUCUCCCCUCCAUCUUCCUCAGGAUGUUGGUUGGUGCGUGGCUAACCUUUCCACUCCUCCUCAUUUAACAAUGAGAGUGUUUAAGGUCACGCAUCUCCUGUGGAGACAGCUCCUGCUCUGUCUCCUCCUCCACAAAGAUGUCACAGCACGAAAGGAUGCAUUCAGCCUGGACCCCUAAGUCCAAAUUCUACUCAGAUAUCGGGUCUGUCGUAGGAAUGAGGUCUGGUCUUCUGGCUUCCUCCUCUUCGACGUCUGUGGCUUUGGCAGAACCAGAAAGCAUGCUUGUCACGAAAGCUGCCUCGCUCCACAGAAUCUAAGACAAAGUGUGUGCUGUGACUCCCCUUGCUGCUGAGAGGCUCCACAGAGAUGCUACAUUUUUCUCAGGAACUUUUGCAUCUUUGAAACUAAUACCGAGUGAUGGGAUAAUUGGAGUUUAACUGAUUGUAAAGACUAUUAAAUCGUCUUGUACGAAAUUGUCUUGUCCUAUUCACAUGAAGCUAUCUCAUCUGCUCUGUGGCUCCUCUGUGUUAGCUGUGCGCAAGAAUCAGAUCAGAGUUCCUACUUACAGCUAUGUAAAAUGCACAAAUAACAAGGCUGUGAGGAAGUGCUCCCUGAUAUUAACUGUGGUUAACUCUGGGUAAGUGGGUUCUGCGUAACUUUUUUAGUUAUAGUUUUUCUCCAGUCUAAACUUCAUUCAUUUAUUUACUUUCUAAACUUUAUGUAUGUAAUGAUUUAAAAAGUGUUUCAGAAGACAGAACAUUUAAAUAUAUGUAUAUUCUAUGAGUUAUGAUCACAUCAAAAGUAGCAUGUACAUUAAUAGGACUGAAAGAAACGUAUGAAAAUGUUGGCCAAGUUUCUUUGAGCAGUGGUACAGUGGAAGAUUUUUUAUUCUCUUCCUUUUGCUAGUCUGUAUUUUUCAAGAUAACAUUUGUGUAAUGUUCCUUUUUCUAGUAAUAGGAAAGUGAAUUUUUUUUUCAACAAAGCAAAUAAUACUGUCAAGAUACCCUACGAAACUUUAUUCACUUGUGUUUCCUACAAUGUACAGUCUUCCUUAACCUAGAUUUUCAGACUUUUUUCCCAUCUUGGAACAGUUUCCCUCAUGAUGACUUUGAUCCUGGGUUCCAGCCUAAUUGUUUUUGCUUCUGCCUUGGAAACACACUCUGCCGUUGGGAUUUGAAAUCUGAUCUUUAUAUUUGUGAAUCACUCAUCUCCUCUCUCAUCUUUUUUGUCUCUUUGUUGUUUUGCUCUUUAUUCUGAGAGGGCUUUGCCUCUCAUAUUGGUGUCCAAUAUGAGCUGUUCUCUUCCUGGAAAUGGGAUCGUGGGAAACACCCAUUUAGAGGAGAGUUUGAGAAGCAGAAUGCUGUCUAGUGGCAGGAUGGGAAGUGGGGGUGGGAUUUCAUGACAUUUAAGAUUCUGGCAGUGUUCCACCUGCAGAUUUCUGGGACCACUGCUUGAGCUUGAACCAUGAGUCUGACCCAACAGGGUGACAGGCAGGACAGGUGGACAACAGAGUCCUCAGGGGGGAGAUCACAGAGGGCAAA